GACAUGGGGUAUCCAGCGACAUCCCCGUGAGGCGCCAGCCCAAAGUCGCAUCCACUGCCUGUUUUACCAGAGGAUGUGCCAUG
rfam:Pelagicola litorisediminis strain CECT 8287 genome assembly, contig: 0010